rnacentral:rRNA from 1 species
GACGAACGCUGGCGGCGUGCCUAAUGCAUGCAAGUCGCACGCACGUCUCUUCGGAGACGUGAGUGGCGCACGGCUGAGGAACACGUGGAUACCUGCCCGCGCGUGGGGGAUAACGGAGCGAAAGCCUCGCUAAUCCCGCAUACGGUCCCUGCUUGCUGCAGGGAAGAAAGCCUUAGGGCGCGCGCGGAGGGGUCUGCGGCCCAUCAGGUAGUCGGCGGGGUAAUGGCCCACCGAGCCGAUGACGGGUAGCUGGUCUGUGAGGACAGACAGCCAGACUGGGACUGAGACACGGCCCAGACUCCUACGGGAGGCAGCAGCAAGGAAUUUUCCCCAAUGGGCGCAAGCCUGAGGGAGCAACGCCGCGUGGAGGACGAAGGCCUUCGGGUUGUAAACUCCUUUUGGGGGGGACGAUGAUGACGGUUCCCUCCGAAUCAGCCCCGGCUAACUCUGUGC